GAUGAACGCUGGCGGCGUGCCUAAUACAUGCAAGUCGAGCGAACAGACGAGGAGCUUGCUUCUCUGAUGUUAGCGGCGGACGGGUGAGUAACACGUGGAUAACCUACCUAUAAGACUGGGAUAACUUCGGGAAACCGGAGCUAAUACCGGAUAAUAUAUUGAACCGCAUGGUUCAAUAGUGAAAGACGGUCUUGCUGUCACUUAUAGAUGGAUCCGCGCGGCAUUAGCUAGUUGGUAAGGUAACGGCUUACCAAGGCAACGAUGCGUAGCCGACCUGAGAGGGUGAUCGGCCACACUGGAACUGAGACACGGUCCAGACUCCUACGGGAGGCAGCAGUAGGGAAUCUUCCGCAAUGGGCGAAAGCCUGCCGGAGCAACGCCGCGUGAGUGAUGAAGGUCUUCGGAUCGUAAAACUCUGUUAUUAGGGAAGAACAAAUGUGUAAGUAACUGUGCACGUCUUGACGGUACCUAAUCAGAAAGCCACGGCUAACUACGUG
rnacentral:rRNA from 1 species